rnacentral:rRNA from 1 species
UCGAGGAAAAGAAACUAACAAGGAUUCCCCUAGUAACGGCGAGUGAAGCGGGAAGAGCUCAAAUUUGAAAUCUGGCGGUCUACGGCCGUCCGAGUUGUAGUCUAGAGAAGUGUUUUCCGUGCUGGACCGUGUACAAGUCCCUUGGAAUAGGGCGUCGUAGAGGGUGAGAAUCCCGUCUCUGACACGGACUACCAGUGCUCUGUGAUGCACUCUCGAAGAGUCGAGUUGUUUGGGAAUGCAGCUCAAAAUGGGUGGUAAAUUCCAUCUAAAGCUAAAUAUUGGUGGAAGACCGAUAGCGAACAAGUACCGUGAGGGAAAGAUGAAAAGCACUUUGGAAAGAGAGUUAAACAGUACGUGAAAUUGUUGAAAGGGAAACGCUUGAAGUCAGUCGCGUCCUUCGAGAUUCAGCUUGGCCUUGGCCUGGUGUAUUUCUUGUUGGACGGGCCAGCAUCAAUUUUGACCACUGGAUAAAGGCAGGGGGAAUGUGGCACCUCCGGGUGUGUUAUAGCCCCUUGUUGUAUACAGUGGUUGGGAUUGAGGUCUGCAGCACGCCUUUAUUGGCCGGGGUUCGCCCACGUUACGUGCUUAGGAUGCUGGCGUAAUGGCUUUAAGCGACCCUCUA